AUUAACCCGCCUCUACCGGGUGUUUGCUAGUCACAUUUAAUUACCAACGGGGCCCGUUGCAAACCAAGGCCCGCUGGUAUUCAAACGUUAAUGCUCGGUAAUUAGACUGACCAAAUUGGCCAGUUUAUUUUCAACCUACUGCUACAGUAUCUACAAAGUUAAAUAAGAUUUCAUUUUUACCCUUCUUUCUCCUGAGUUGCAGAUAUUUCCGAUGGAUUCCUCUUGUGCCUCGGCGGCAUAUGCUUUUGCGACGCCGGCUUUCUCGAGCGGGAUUUUCCGGCUGUCGGCUUAGCCACUUUCUUGUGCUUCUUGCUGAUGUGAGCGAGGCGGAGGCUGAGGCAGUUGGUGAGGAUGACUCUGCUUCAUCAGGUCUUGCCCCGAGCGGACGCCUCCAGCAACCGGUCGGCGACGUCGCGUGCGGCGUGGCCGGAAUCGGGGCUGCGGAGGUGGCGGAGGGCGUCGAUGAGCUUCGACGAAUAGACGUGUUGCUCCUCUUGGGCGUCGACGUGAUUGACAAAUCAAAGGAAAUCUAAUUUCCAAUACAUCAAUCUCAAAUUUCACUCACACAAAGCCUUCACUAAUGCCAACAAAGUAGAAGUAAACACACACAAACACACCUCUCUCUUACACACACAUCAAAUAUUUCAAUUUCAAUGGUUUUCCUCUCUCUCUCUCUCUCUCCCUCUAGUUCAUUGCUGUUCGAGACUGCAGCUCGUAGUAGUCUGUGUUAUCCGAACACUUAUUUUUGGAGAAUUUGUGUAUGGAUAGCGAAAUUUUGAUCCGUCGAAGAAGCAAUUUAUGCUAAACCUAAGAGAAAAGUUCACUGGAUGGAUAACAAUGGAGAUAAGCUUGCAGAAAUCUUGGAGUUUCAACCGAGGUAAUUGGGAUAUUUUUUGUUUUUGAUGUUUUGUGUUGUUGAUACUGCAUGAUUUAUGGUCAGGUUAUGACAUUGGAUUCUUGUAAUUGUGCUCAUUGCUGAUGUUAGUUCUUGAGUUUUUCAAUAUGCUGUUCAAUUUAUUACUAAGGAACUGCACUAAGUUGCAUAAAUUUGGAGGAUGCUUAUUCAAUGGCAUAGAAUCAAAUAAUCAAUGUUGUUAUAGAAUAUACAUGGUUGAAGGGAUGAUCUUGUUGGUGGCUAUGCUCGAUUUUUUGCUCCCUUUUGUUUUCAAUCAUAUGUUGAUG
rnacentral:lncRNA from 1 species